rnacentral:rRNA from 1 species
CGCGAUUCGCCCUUCGGGGUGCAGCAGGCGCGAAAACUUUACAAUGCGGGAAACCGUGAUAAGGGGACACCGAGUGCCAGCAUCCUAUGCUGGCUGUCCGGGUGUGUAAAAUACACCUGUUAGCAAGGGCCGGGCAAGACCGGUGCCAGCCGCCGCGGUAACACCGGCGGCCCGAGUGGUGAUCGUGAUUAUUGGGUCUAAAGGGUCCGUAGCCGGUUUGGUCAGUCCUCCGGGAAAUCUGACAGCUUAACUGUUAGGCUUUCGGAGGAUACUGCCAGACUUGGAACCGGGAGAGGUAAGAGGUACUACAGGGGUAGGAGUGAAAUCUUGUAAUCCCUGUGGGACCACCUGUGGCGAAGGCGUCUUACCAGAACGGGUUCGACGGUGAGGGACGAAAGCUGGGGGCACGAACCGGAUUAGAUACCCGGGUAGUCCCAGCCGUAAACGAUGCUCGCUAGGUGUCAGGCAUGGCGCGACCGUGUCUGGUGCCGCAGGGAAGCCGUGAAGCGAGCCACCUGGGAAGUACGGCCGCAAGGCUGAAACUUAAAGGAAUUGGCGGGGGAGCAC